rnacentral:rRNA from 1 species
GACGAACCGUGCGAACGUUGUUCGGAUUCACUGGGCUUAAAGGGCGCGUAGGCGGGUCAGCAAGUCCGGGGUGAAAGCUUUCGGCUCAACCGGAAAAGGGCCUUGGAUACUGCUGAUCUGGAGGAAGGUAGGGGCGUGUGGAACUUCCGGUGGAGCGGUGAAAUGCGUAGAUAUCGGAAGGAACGCCGGUGGCGAAAGCGACACGCUGGACCUUUUCUGACGCUGAGGCGCGAAAGCCAGGGGAGCAAACGGG